rnacentral:rRNA from 1 species
GGAAGGUCCGGGCGUUAUCCGGAUUUAUUGGGUUUAAAGGGAGCGUAGGCCGGAGAUUAAGCGUGUUGUGAAAUGUAGACGCUCAACGUCUGCACUGCAGCGCGAACUGGUUUCCUUGAGUACGCACAAAGUGGGCGGAAUUCGUGGUGUAGCGGUGAAAUGCUUAGAUAUCACGAAGAACUCCGAUUGCGAAGGCAGCUCACUGGAGCGCAACUGACGCUGAAGCUCGAAAGUGCGGUAUCAAACAGGAUUANAUACCCUGGUAGUCCACACGGUAAACGAUGAAUACUCGCUGUAGGCGAUAUACGGUCUGCGGUCAAGCGAAAGCAUUAAGUAUUCCACCUGGGGAGU